UACUUCUAAAUAACAAAAGGUAAGAAACUCUUGGUCGAGAGCCCAGAAUUUCUCAACAAAUGGCUAAUUUUGCCUCGGUAGGUUCUGUUAUUUGGUUCAAAAGCUUCCAUUUAAGGGUGGAGGGACAAAAAUAUCUAACUGCUAAUAAUUGUCCCUGAGGUUUAUACAGCAGCCAACGAUUUACAGAAUUCUCUUACAGACAUAUCGCAUUUAAAAGACUCCAAACCUCCCAAGUGGGCAGCUGUUCCUUCCGAUCCCGGAGUGUGCUCUGCUGAUGAGAAUUUUUGCAAGUCUCUGUUCCUCUUUGGUGCCGGAGUGGGGGAGAUUGACGCUCGAGAGGUGCCAACUGCCAACUCCUGGCAAAAUAUCACCUAGCUAGCCCGCAGAGGCAGCAAAGCUCAACUCACUGCUUGUUGCUGCAACGGAAGCGCUGCCUCACAGCAUCAAGGUCAAGAGCACCAUAUUUAUGGGAUUUGGGGGGUCUGGUUUAAGGUAGGUCUUCACUUCUGGGGAGCCGAUUGGGAUUGAACUGAGUUUUUGGUAUAAUAGUUGAGGACUGGGAAACAGAGAAAGGAAGGUUUUGAAUGAAGCUUAAAAGUAAACAGCCGUGGGGCGCCUGGGUGACUCAGUCGUUGAGCGGCAAACUUUUGAUUUCAGCUCCGGUCAUGAUCUUGGGGUGGUGAGAUUGAGCCCCAAUCUCUGUGCUCAGCAGGGAGUGUGCUUGAGAUUUUCCCCCUCUCCCUCUCCCCCUCCCCUGCUACCUGCACUCGUGUUCUCUCGCUCUCUCUCAAAUAAAUUAAUUAAUUAAAUAAAAAGAAUAAAUAGU
rnacentral:lncRNA from 1 species